rnacentral:lncRNA from 1 species
CAGUGCUCUCUCCACAGAGGAGAAGCGCAGUCUUCGAAGGGCGUGCGUUUGAAGGCGUGAACCGAGGCUCCUGUAAGGAAGGAGGGGGACCCUGGUUACUCAGUUAAAUGUUCCUAGCAGGUAAGCCUGUUCCUGACAGAUGGUGUUUGUGAGUGAUGCUUGCUCCCAGCUGAGCCGUGCCCCGGGAAACACUAACGGAGGCUGUCUCCACAGAAAACCCCAUCCAACUUGAUGGCAUAUGCUCUGCUGUGGCCUACACCUGUCGGAAGGAUCGAGUUUACAAGAGGAUCCCCCAGCGCCACCUCUAACAGCGGUGUUAAUCACAGCUCACUCGCACACUUCUCUGACUGACUAUGCCAAUGCCCACUUCUGACGGAGCGCCAAGCCUGCAGUUGGGACAAAGGAUCUGCCAGCCUUCCCAGCAGCGGCAGAAGGCGGCGGGCCUCUCCGGCGCCACAGAUGGGGGGCUCCCAGCGGCAGUCUGUGAUCAAGAUCAGGGAGCAGAGCGUGAGCUACGGCCGCCCGGGCUCAAAGGCCGGACUGUAGAACGGCACGCGAGCCCGCUAUCUCUCGUGCCGCAGAAGGCCAAAUUAGACCCCAGAAGCAGCGCCUUGCAGGAGUACCAGGCUGCUCUUCUCGCGGGGAGCUCCGAAGUCAGCGGCACAUCGUCAGAGACCAUGGAGCUCUUCCUCUCUGCCAGGGGAUCUGCUGGUUGUGAAGGUGGAGCCUGGCGUGAUGGAUGUCUGUGCGACAAUGGGCAAUUGUUCCAUGAAUGCUUACCUCGGAGUCCACCGCACGCCCGGGAGUGGGGAUUAAUUAGAGCCUUUUAGUGCAGAGAAUUACGGAGUUGCCCUGCGAAGUCUCAGCCCUUCCCACUGCAGGCACACCUUUUUAUUCCGCUACAGCAUGGCAGGUUAGCAGACGUGACAUUAACAUAUCACUGUGUGUUUUUUUUAUUUCUAAUUAUUUCAUACAGCCAUUGCCCGGUUUACAUCAAAUGCAGUCGACAACGGUCCAUUUUAAAGACCACGUUUUCUAAUGCUCUCUUUAGUGACGGUGCCCAUGCACACAUAUUUGUUAAUGGUCAUGUCUUGACUGAACCUGUGCGGCCCACCACUAGUACUACGCAUUGCUUACGGGCAUAGAGUGAAUAAAUGUCUGCAUUAAUUAUUUGUUUGAAAACA